AGUGAACGCUGGCGGCAGGCCUAACACAUGCAAGUCGAGCGGCAGCGCGGGGGCAACCCUGGCGGCGAGCGGCGGACGGGUGAGGAAUUCGUCGGAAUCUGCCUUUUUGUGGGGGAUAACGUAUGGAAACUUACGCUAAUACCGCAUACGUCCUACGGGAGAAAGUGGGGGACCGCAAGGCCUCACGCAGAAAGAUGAGCCGACGACCGAUUAGCUAGUUGGUGGGGUAAAGGCCCACCAAGGCGACGAUCGGUAGCUGGUCUGAGAGGAUGAUAGGCCACACUGGGAGUGGGACACGGCCCAGACUCCUGCGGGAGGCAGCAGUGGGGAAUAUUGGACAAUGGGCGCAAGCCUGAUCCAGCCAUGCCGCGUGUGUGAAGAAGGCCUUCGGGUUGUAAAGCACUUUUGUCCGGAAAGAAAUCCCUGGAGCUAAUACCUUCGGGGGAUGACGGUACCGGAAGAAUAAGCACCGGCUAACUUCGUG
rnacentral:rRNA from 1 species